rnacentral:rRNA from 1 species
UACGGGGGGAGCAAGCGUUGUUCGGAUUUACUGGGCGUAAAGGGCGCGUAGGCGGCGUGACAAGUCACUUGUGAAAUCUCCGGGCUUAACUCGGAACGGUCAAGUGAUACUGUCGUGCUAGAGUACAGAAGGGGCAACUGGAAUUCUCGGUGUAGCGGUGAAAUGCGUAGAUAUCGAGAGGAACACCUGCGGCGAAGGCGGGUUGCUGGGCUGACACUGACGCUGAGGCGCGAAAGCCAGGGGAGCAAACGGG